UACGAGGGGGGCAAGCGUUGUUCGGAAUUAUUGGGCGUAAAGGGUGCGUAGGCGGUCUGGUAAGUCUUGUGUGAAAUCUUCGGGCUCAACUCGAAGUCUGCACGAGAAACUGCCGGGCUUGAGUAUGGGAGAGGUGAGUGGAAUUCCCGGUGUAGCGGUGAAAUGCGUAGAUAUUGGGAAGAACACCAGUGGCGAAGGCGGCUCUCUGGACCGUAACUGACGCUGAGGCGCGAAAGCGUGGGGAGCAAACAGG
rnacentral:rRNA from 1 species